rnacentral:tRNA from 1 species
GUUAGGAUGGUCGAGUGGUUUAAGGCAUAAAACUCAAGUUCUAAUCCUAUAAAGAGGACAUAGGUUAAAAUUCUAUUUCUAAUA